rnacentral:rRNA from 1 species
UUCCGGUUGAUCCUGCCGGAAGCCACUGCUAUUGGGGUUCGCCUAAGCCAUGCGAGGCGAGAGGGGAAGGCCCUCGCCGCACUGCUGAGUAACACGUAGCUAACCUACCCUCAGGUGGGGGAUAAUCCCGGGAAACUGGGGCUAAUACCCCAUAGGCUUUGGGUACUGGAAUGUCCCAAAGCUGAAAGCUCCGGCGCCUGAGGAUGGGGCUGCGGCCUAUCAGGCUGUUGUCAGGAUAAAGACCUGACAAACCUAUGACGGGUAGGGGCCAUGAGAGUGGGAGCCUCCAGAUGCCUUCUGAGACAUGAAGGCAGGUCCUACGGGACGCAGCAGGCGCGAAAACUUUCCAAUGCGUUCACGCGUGAGAAGGGGACCUCGAGUGGCUGUGCUUUGCACAGCCUUUUGCCGAGUCUAAAAAGCUCGGCGAAUAAGGGGUGGGCAAGACGGGUGCCAGCCGCCGCGGUAAUACCCGCGCCCCAAGUGGUGAUCACGAUUAUUGGGCCUAAAGUGCCUGUAGCCGGUUCAGCAAGUCCCUGGUGAAAUCCGGCAGCUAACUGUCGGGCUGGCUGGGGAUACUGCUGGACUUGGGACCGGGAGAGGCCGGAGGUAUUCCCAGGGUAGGGGUUAAAUCCUUUAAUCCUGGGAGGACCACCUGUGGCGAAGGCGUCCGGCUGGAACGGGUCCGACGGUGAGGGGCGAAAGCUGGGGGAGCAAACUGAUCUAAUCCGUUGACCAUAGUGGAUGAAAGGAUCAGGCUCAAAGCGGAUUAGAUACCCGCGUAGUCCCAGCUGUAAACCAUGCCCGCUUGGUAUUGGGAGUCUUACGGGGACUUCCAGUGCCGGAGCGUAGGUGUUAAGCGGGCCGCCUGGGGAGUACGGCCGCAAGGCUGAAACUUAAAGGAAUUGGCGGGGGAGCACUACAAGGGGUGGAGCGUGCGGUUUAAUUGGAUUCAACGCCGG